rnacentral:rRNA from 1 species
GAUGAACGCUGGCGGCGUGCCUAAUACAUGCAAGUCGAGCGAACGGACGAGAAGCUUGCUUCUCUGAUGUUAGCGGCGGACGGGUGAGUAACACGUGGAUAACCUACCUAUAAGACUGGGAUAACUUCGGGAAACCGGAGCUAAUACCGGAUAAUAUUUUGAACCGCAUGGUUCAAAAGUGAAAGACGGUCUUGCUGUCACUUAUAGAUGGAUCCGCGCUGCAUUAGCUAGUUGGUAAGGUAACGGCUUACCAAGGCAACGAUGCAUAGCCGACCUGAGAGGGGGAUCGGCCACACUAGAACUGAGACACGGUCCAGACUCCUACGGGAGGCAGCAGUAGGGAAUCUUCCGCAAUGGGCGAAAGCCUGACGGAGCAACGCCGCGUGAGUGAUGAAGGUCUUCGGAUCGUAAAACUCUGUUAUUAGGGAAGAACAUAUGUGUAAGUAACUGUGCACAUCUUGACGGUACCUAAUCAGAAAGCCACGGCUAACUACGUG